UUUAUUUUGCUUUUAAGUGGACAUCCCUGGACAUCAAGUGCUGGCACUGCAAAUUGUCUCACAACGCUAAGUACUUCAAGUCUAUUCCGCAGUCCUGUAAUUAUCUGAGGAGAAAACUACAGAAUAAACUAAUCAAGUGUGAUGCCUUAAAGAAGCAACAGGAUUGUCAAGACUUUUGGGUGCUGAUUCCACAGGGCUAUCAUAGUUCACAGCUCAGAGAAAAACCUGAGGAUAUACAAUAAAGAAUGAUUGCUUCCAAGUGUUUGCCUUCCGGUGCCUUUGUAAGAACCAGUACGGAGCAGCCAGCCGUGAUUUCUCUAAGCCAAAGACGUGGGCAGUUGAAGAAAUGCCCAGCCAGAGUGCAGGGAUCGGCAUACUGCCAACAUCUGCCUCCUCGUCAUUAACACACAAAGCCCCAAAGAGAAACCGAGCAAAUAUUUCCUAAGCUGCUGUUUUCUGGGCCCUCUGAAUUGCAGAGAAGACUUGAAGAGCCUUGGGAGAAGUACAGAACCUCCAAAAGGAGCAAGAAAUAUUUUCAACAUGAAAGGCACCUUUUUUACUUGCAUCACAUUUAUCAUCGUGCCUGCCUUAAUAUGACAUCA